ensembl:lncRNA
CUUUGUUAUUCUUUCUUGUUUUCACUUUAUUUGUAUAAAUGUAUUUUCAUUCUUUUAUUUUGAAAAGCAACAUUUAUUUUGAAAAAAAGGAAGUGUGAUCCUCCAGCAAACUUUAUUUUUCCUGUUGCCGGAUCACAAGGGAUAAAUGCCUUUUUCAUUGGUUGAAGGUGGUUUUAGCCCCGUCUUCCAAAACACCAGACCAUCAUUUCACAUGAGCUAGGUCUUUUCGCACGUGGAAGUAGAUGAGACAGGCCACGGAUAGCUCGUGCGGAAUUUUAUAUCAUUUUGCUCCUUGUCUCAGAGUGGGAGGGAUUUGAAGCACAAAGGGAGGAGCUUGUUGUUUGGUUGGCUGAUAUGGAUGUCCACCUGGGUGAGGCUGACCAGCUGACAGGAAACACCUGUGAAAAACUGAAACAACUGCAGCUGUGGCUGGAAAAGAGAAAGGCGUUCAGAAGCGGAGACAGGGACUGCUACAGAGAGGCCAAGUACAGGUUCACUAAAGAAGUGGACAUUGCUAAACAUCAGCACUCUGAGAAGAUGCAGCAGCAGAUCUCAGAGAAUGACUCGGCCUCUGUCUGGAAAAGUUUUAGGAAUAGGGCUUUGGAGCGUGAUGUCACAGGAGGGGGGCCACGCCCCCUCCCGCCAUGACAGUAGGCCAAACGAAGCACACGGAAGCAUCAGCUAUGGUUCGUACGUACUGUGUUGUCGGUUGCAACGUUAGAUCACACGAUAGGGAAGGCAAGAAGCUGGGAAAUGGGCUCUCUUUUCAUCGUUUCCCUUCAUGGAGGCAACAGGAGGGAUCUCAUAUAUCCGAUAUUACUAAACGAAGACGUCAGGCUUGGAUUGCAGCGGUCAAACUCGGACCGGCACGCAAGGCGAGUGCAACAAAAGCGAAAAAGAGCACCCAGCGGAGCUGCAGAGUAUGAAGGUGUGCCCCGUGCAGAAGUAAUAGAUGAAGAUCUGACAGAAGACCAACAACAAAAUCACCAUGUCAUGAAGGCUGUGGACAGGAGUUACUCAUAUCAUGUGAGGGUGAAGACACAACACUGCUUGAUAAGAAUGUUAAGGUGUGCUGUGUUUUGGUGAAUAUGUGCCCCAGUGUGGUUGUCAAACCAGGGCCAAAUGAAACUUGCUCUUGUUGAAUAUUCAUAAAACUGCUGUGUUGCAUGUACA